GCUAUGAUGAAAUGUAUUCAGGAGUAAUUGAUUAUAUGCUUACACUUAGUUGAUUAAAAUGGUUGUUUUUUCUUUGAUCCUUUAGUAGAAUAAGUGUUUAUGAUGAUUUUCUUGUGAAAGGUGACUUUAGGUCAGAGCUACACAGCAAAAAUGCCAGUGUUGAUUUUUCAGUGUUAGUAGAAUUCAACAGAGUUCCGAGUUAGUUCAACACUUAAUCGAGUUAAAAUAACACAUCGGGAGUUGAUUCCUGAAAAGUGUUGGUGUGGAUUUUAGUCGUUACUGCAUUUUAACACUGUGGGUGUUAAAUUAGACCACACCUUCAUUUCCUGUGGAGCUUCGCAUUUCAGAAUCUUCGGUCGCCAUUUUUUCUUGCUGCUGCGGUGGUGAUAUGCUGGUUCCUGACAAGAGAUGAAGAAAUCAAAGUCAGCUUUUCAAGACAGCCCCAAGACUCCUCGCAACCUGUGUUCAAAUGUGAGGCUGUUGUCAGGUGAUGAAUGCAAGGAAGAGGCACUCAACUGACAUGAAACAUGUCAAAGACAACAUGAAGGUGACAUUUCAACAUAGGCAAAAGUGGUUCAAGAACCUGCCACAGCUUCUACUGUCCUGGACCUUUUCCCAAGAUUUCUGUACACCUGGCUUGAUUGACCAAGACUUCACAAUGCUGUUUGUUGGGGAGGAAGUGUCUGCUAAGUUCCUUGCAAAGUGGCCAACCAAGCCAAGGAUCAUCAAAGAUUGCAAAAAUCUGUCUCAGAGUACAGAAUUGGAUGAGCUGCUCAUUUCUGCACAGCGUUACUCUGACGAGGGUGGUAAGUGUAAGUUGGAAAUGGUAGAUUUUGCAUGCCUUUACAGCAUUUGCUUAAUUCCCACAACACACUAUAUCACUGGACCAUACCGGUAAACCUUUACUACAAAUUGGAAUACAGCUGUCCAUUUUCUAAAUCACAUUGGGUUUCUGUUCAUUUCUGUAUGGUAUGAAAACAAGCUUACGAACA
ensembl:lncRNA